rnacentral:rRNA from 1 species
UGGGGAAUCUUGCGCAAUGGGCGGAAGCCUGACGCAGCAACGCCGCGUGCGGGAAGAAGGUCCUCUGGAUCGUAAACCGCUUUCAGUGGGGACGAAGCCUCCGGGGUUAAUAGCCUACGGGGUGACGGUACUCACAGAAGAAGGCCCGGCUAACUACGUGCCAGCAGCCGCGGUAAUACGUAGGGGCCGAGCGUUGUCCGGAAUUAUUGGGCGUAAAGCGCGUGUAGGCGGCUUGGUAGGUCUCGCGUUAAAGCCCGCAGCUCAACUGCGGAAUCGCGUGGGAAACCACCUCGCUAGAGUCCGGAAGAGGAGUGUGGAAUUCCUGGUGUAGCGGUGAAAUGCGCAGAUAUCAGGAAGAACACCAGUGGCGAAGGCGGCACUCUGGGACGGUACUGACGCUGAGACGCGAAAGCGUGGGGAGCGAACAGG